GAUGAACGCUGGCGGCGUGCUUAACACAUGCAAGUCGAACGGAAAGGCUCCUGCUUGCAGGGGUACUCGAGUGGCGAACGGGUGAGUAACACGUGGGUGAUCUGCCCUGCACUUCGGGAUAAGCCUGGGAAACUGGGUCUAAUACCGGAUAGGACGAUGGUUUGGAUGCCAUUGUGGAAAGUUUUUUCGGUGUGGGAUGAGCUCGCGGCCUAUCAGCUUGUUGGUGGGGUAGUGGCCUACCAAGGCGUCGACGGGUAGCCGGCCUGAGAGGGUGUACGGCCACAUUGGGACUGAGAUACGGCCCAGACUCCUACGGGAGGCAGCAGUGGGGAAUAUUGCACAAUGGGCGCAAGCCUGAUGCAGCGACGCCGCGUGGGGGAUGACGGCCUUCGGGUUGUAAACUCCUUUCGCUAGGGACGAAGCGCAAGUGACGGUACCUGGAGAAGAAGCACCGGCUAACUACGUG
rnacentral:rRNA from 1 species